AUUGAACGCUGGCGGCAGGCCUAACACAUGCAAGUCGAACGAGUGGCGGACGGGUGAGUAAUGUCUGGGAAACUGCCCGAUGGAGGGGGAUAACUACUGGAAACGGUAGCUAAUACCGCAUACCAUCGGAUGUGCCCAGAUGGGAUUAGCUAGUAGGUGGGGUAACGGCUCACCUAGGCGACGAUCCCUAGCUGGUCUAAGAGGAUGACCAGCCAGACUGGAACUGAGGCACGGUCCAACCUCCUCCGGGAGGCAGCAGUGGGAAAUAUUUCACGAUGGUCGCAAGCCUGAUGCAGCCAUGCCGCGUGUAUGAAGAAGGCCUUCGGGUUGUAAAGUACUUUCAGCGAGGAGGCGUUACUCGCAGAAGAAGCACCGGCUAACUACGUGCCAGCAGCCGCGGUAAUAC
rnacentral:rRNA from 1 species